rnacentral:rRNA from 1 species
UCAGGACGAACGCUGGCGGCGYGCCUAAUACAUGCAAGUCGAGCGGACAGAURGGAGCUUGCUCCAUGAUGUUAGCGGCGGACGGGUGAGUAACACGUGGGUAACCUGCCUGUAAGACUGGGAUAACUCCGGGAAACCGGGGCUAAUACCGGAUGGUUGUUUGAACCGCAUGGUUCAAACAUAAAAGGUGGCUUCGGCUACCACUUACAGAUGGACCCGCGGCGCAUUAGCUAGUUGGUGAGGUAAUGGCUCACCAAGGCAACGAUGCGUAGCCGACCUGAGAGGGUGAUCGGCCACACUGGGACUGAGACACGGCCCAGACUCCUACGGGAGGCAGCAGUAGGGAAUCUUCCGCAAUGGACGAAAGUCUGACGGAGCAACGCCGCGUGAGUGAUGAAGGUUUUCGGAUCGUAAAGCUCUGUUGUUAGGGAAGAACAAGUACCRUUCGAAUARGGCGGYACCUUGACGGUACCUAACCAGAAAGCCACGGCUAACUACGUGCCAGCAGCCGCGGUAAUACGUAGGUGGCAAGCGUUGUCCGGAAUUAUUGGGCGUAAAGGGCUCGCAGGCGGUUUCUUAAGUCUGAUGUGAAAGCCCCCGGCUCAACCGGGGAGGGUCAUUGGAAACUGGGRAACUUGAGUGCAGAAGAGGARAGUGGAAUUCCACGUGUAGCGGUGAAAUGCGUAGAGAURUGGAGGAACACCAGUGGCGAAGGCGACUYUCUGGUCUGUAACUGACGCUGAGGAGCGAAAGCGUGGGGAGCGAACAGGAUUAGAUACCCUGGUAGUCCACGCCGUAAACGAUGAGUGCUAAGUGUUAGRGGGUUUCCGCCCCUUAGUGCUGCAGCUAACGCAUAAG